rnacentral:snoRNA from 1 species
GGACCCCUGUGAUGUCCACCUCUGGGCUCUGACCUGUGACGACACGGUGCUCCCCCGGGACCUUAGACCCCCGGGGCUCUGAAGGGUCC